rnacentral:piRNA from 3 species
UGUUACUCAAUGUCAAAGCUGCUGUG